UAGCUCAGCUGGUAGAGCAGCGGACUGUUAAUCCGCUUGUCGCAGGUUCGAGUCCUGC
rnacentral:tRNA from 1 species